GAUUGCAUCUGUAUAGAUGGAACUCAUGGGAUGAAUAACUAUGACUUCGAACUUAUAACUCUCCUUGUUGAUGAUAUUCGUCAGGGAUUUCCUUGCAGUUUUCUUGUGUCAAAUAGGUCUGAUAAACAAGUUUUAAAAAUAUGUUUUCACUUUGUAAAAUCUCGCCUUGGUACUGCACUUUGUCCAAAUGUCUUCAUGCCAGAUAUGGCAGAAGCUUUCUUCAAUGCAUGAAUUGAAAUAAUGUCUCCACCAAAAUUCAGAUUAUACUGUUCAUGGCACGUUGACCAGGCGUGGCGUAAGAAUUUAUCAAAAAUCAACACCAAAGAAAAGCAACUUUUAUUUAUAAGAAUUUAAGAGCUGUCUUAGAAGAAAGGGAUGUCACAACUUUUAAUAUUUUAAUUAACAAGUUAUAUACUAAGUUACUUAAAGACCCUGAUACAAUGGAAUUUGC